CCAGAAGCUCAGGGCUUGUGGCCACAGGGCACAGCCCACACACACCAGGAGCCUGCGCGGCGCGGGCCGCGGGCCAGAGGAGGGCCCAGGCCCGGACGGGACCAGCGCGGACUGGAAGGCUAAUGGGUUAGGUUUGCAGAAAGAUGACACUUCACAGACCCUGGAAGCACUCGGUCCUCAGGGUUGGCCCUAGAACAUUCUCAGCGCCUGGGAAACAUCUGAAAGCAAAGACAAGACCUGACGUGAGAAAGGAUAGGGAGUCUCGUGAUAUUCCUGGUACUUUGGAAUCUAAGAUCAAGGAGCUGUGAGGCACACAGAAUACUUAACAGGCUGAUGAAUUUACUAGAAGUGGCAUAUUAUUGGUUGGCAUUUGAAGAGGCCGAAAACAUUCCACUUGCUCGUGUAAACUGCUUUGCCCGUUGACAGCUUACCCACUCCUACAGAAACAAAGCAUUGAAAGAUGAAGACCAAUAUAACUACGUUUAAAAAAUUGUUCACAAGGCUGAGAGAAUAGGCAGUCAAUAAAUAUGUGUUUAUUGAUGGAUGCAAUAAGACCAUAAAAUUGUUCUGCAUAAUAAAGUAUUUCACUAAUAAUUUGCUAGGAAAUUAGCCUGAGGCUCCCCUCUGCACAGCACUCACAUUGCAAGCUUGUCGGCAAAACAGCGUAAGCUCUAACCUCCGAAUUUCAGAGAAGUGUUUUGCAAGAAGGAAUUUUUAUUAUGGGAUCCACCAAAAAAAAGAAAAGAAACUGUUUAAAAAAUUGUUUAAAUUCUAAUUAUUUUUCUCAUUACAAAAGUACUACAUUAAUUGCAAAAAUUAAUAAAUGCAGAGAAGCAAAAGGAGGAAAAAACCCCACUAUAAUUCCACCACUCAAAGAUAACAAGGUUAACAUUUGAUGUUUUUGCCCUGGGCGUAUAUGCAUUUGUCACAGAAAAGAGCUCAUACUGUGUAUGCUGUUCUGUAAACUACUUCUUCAUUCAGUCACAUACCUCGAAUCUCUUUCCAAGUCAACAACCAUUUUUCUACAAUGUCACCUUAAAUGACUAGGUUAUAUUAUAAAUAUAUUACCCUUUCCCUAUCAUUUGGGUUGUUUGCAAUUUUUGCUCUUAUAAACAGGGGCUCCGUGGACAACCUUAUAGGUAAAUUUGUAUACAAAUUGGUAGAAAAGAAAAAUCUUUUCUAAAAUUCAACGGCUUUUUGCUUGAGAUAAAUUUCUUGGACCAAAGAAAUAGAGGUGUUGAUAAAUAAAAACGGGAGUUCUGUAAGCUUUACCUGAAACGCAUUAACGUUCUCCUCUCUUCUUUCCUCUUUACUCUUC